AUUGAACGCUGGCGGCAGGCUUAACACAUGCAAGUCGAGCGGGGGAAGGUAGCUUGCUACUGGACCUAGCGGCGGACGGGUGAGUAAUGCUUAGGAAUCUGCCUAUUAGUGGGGGACAACAUCUCGAAAGGGAUGCUAAUACCGCAUACGUCCUACGGGAGAAAGCAGGGGAUCUUCGGACCUUGCGCUAAUAGAUGAGCCUAGGUCGGAUUAGCUAGUUGGUGGGGGAAAGGCCUACAAAGGCGACGAUCCGUAGCGGGUCUGAGGGGAUGAUCCGCCACACUGGGACUGAGACACGGCCCAGACUCCUACGGGAGGCAGCAGUGGGGAAUAUUGGACAAUGGGGGGAACCCUGAUCCAGCCAUGCCGCGUGUGUGAAGAAGGCCUUAUGGUUGUAAAGCACUUUAAGCGAGGAGGAGGCUACUCUAGUUAAUACCUAGGGAUAGUGGACGUUACUCGCAGAAUAAGCACCGGCUAACUCUGUGCCAGCCGCCGCCGUAA
rnacentral:rRNA from 1 species